CCUACGGGAGGCUGCAGUGGGGAAUAUUGGACAAUGGGGGGAACCCUGAUCCAGCCAUGCCGCGUGUGUGAAGAAGGCCCUCGGGUUGUAAAGCACUUUCAGUGAGGAAGAACGCCUGGUGGUUAAUACCCAUCAGGAAAGACAUCACUCACAGAAGAAGCACCGGCUAACUCCGUGCCAGCAGCCGCGGUAAUACGGAGGGUGCGAGCGUUAAUCGGAAUUACUGGGCGUAAAGCGCGCGUAGGUGGCUUGAUAAGCCGGUUGUGAAAGCCCCGGGCUCAACCUGGGAACGGCAUCCGGAACUGUCAAGCUAGAGUGCAGGAGAGGAAGGUAGAAUUCCCGGUGUAGCGGUGAAAUGCGUAGAGAUCGGGAGGAAUACCAGUGGCGAAGGCGGCCUUCUGGACUGACACUGACACUGAGGUGCGAAAGCGUGGGUAGCAAACAGGAUUAGAUAACCCAGUAGUC
rnacentral:rRNA from 1 species